rnacentral:tRNA from 1 species
ACUAUUUUGGCAGAAAAAUGUAAUGAUUUUAGAGUUCAUGUAUGUAUAAUUUAUUUAUAUAGGUAGUA